rnacentral:lncRNA from 1 species
UGCACUUCUAGACCAUCUGCUAUACUGGUUUUGCAGACUGGAAUAGGUGCACUGGAAAGAGGGCAACCAUCCGUCACAGGGAUGGUUACACAAGAAAACAGCAAAAACUAUUAUUCCAUUGUCAACAUCGAGUCCCUAAAAUUGCUGCAAUGGGGCAUACAACAAUCUGAAAUAUCGUCUGGAAUUUGCAGUGACAAUAAUGGAAUUUUGAAUGGCAAAGGAAAAGAGCAGGUAGCUCAGACAUCAUAUCAAGUGAGAGAAGAUGCUUAG